CUGCUGCUGCAGCUGCUGCUGCAGUUGUAGCUGCUGCUGCAGCAGCUGCUGCUGCAGUUGUUGCUGCUGCAGCUGCUGCUGCUGCAGUUGUAGCUGCUGCAGCAGGUACUGCUGCAACAGUUGCUGCUGCAGUAGUUGCUGCUGCAGUUGUUGCUGCUGCAGCAGGUACUGCUGCAGCUGUUGCUGCUGCUGCAGUUGCUGCUGCUGCAGUUGCUGCUGCAACAGUUGCUGCUGCAGCAGCAACUGCAGCGUUUGGCUUCU
rnacentral:sRNA from 1 species